rnacentral:lncRNA from 1 species
UGGCCAUUCUAAAGGCCCCUCCUAGACUCCGAGGGUGGGCAGUAGCUGGAGGGCACGGGGACUCCCCUGUGUCCCCCUCCUUGCCUAUGCAGAGGGCAGAAUCCAGGCACCUUUCAGUCCAGUGAAAUUUUGAACCUUUUUGAGGUUCGAGGGGCCACGUGGCGGGGGGCGCCCUGUCCUCCCUCUCCACCACUAGGGGGCGCGCUCUACCUCUGCCUCGCGCCUUUCAGGCUCCCUCUUGCACUCUGCGAUUCUUCAUCCCUCUCCUCUCCUCUCUCCUGCCCGCUCCGCAUCCCGUUUUCUCUCUCCCACUCCCUGCCCCCCCCUCUUCCUGUCUCGUAUUUUCCUGCCCAGGAAUCAGACCCCAGACAGUACCUAGGAAGUCUGCGGCCUUGCCUAAUAGAACCGUAAUAGUCCUCGGGGAGGCGUGAUAAUGACAUCCUCCUUAAAUAAAAGGACUUAAUGGAGAUUUCCCAAAUUUGAAAACCACAUUUCCACUAGCAACCUACUCAGUGAAUGCUCUGGAGAGGAACUCAUGGGGAUCUGCAGUGGGGGAACGGGCGAGGAGGCUCGGAGCCUGCGCAGAGCAAGCGGUUCCGCACUGCCCUACUCUCCCAGGCAGGACAAAGGACCCACCCGAGGUUACAAACCACGAAGGUGGGCCGCCUUCUCCCUUCCAAUCAGCUCCCAAAGAGCAAAAAAGCUCAGACUCAGCAAAUCCUGUGUGACCCAAGGAAUAGGAAGCCCUGUCUCUCCAGUCUAGAAGCUGCUCCAACCUGAGGUGGCCAAUGAGGACAGUUGCCGUCUGAUUCUCAUAUUCUUGGGAAAGCAUUUCCCUUCUUGACAAAGAAACAAGGUCUCAUGCAACCCAGACUGGCUUCUCUCUGCAUCACUAAGGAUGGUGUUGAAUUUCUGAUCAUCUUGCCACCACCUCCCCAGGACUGGAAUUACAUUAUCUACCACCAUGCCAGGUGUAUGCCAUGCUGUUGCUCAAACCCAGGGCUUCCUGUAUCUACCAGCAGAGCUACACGCCCAGCCCCUGGGAAGUACUUUCCUAAAAAUUUCCAUACAAAACCCCAUCUUGGCUUCAUUCAUUCAUACAAGCACACAUUGAUU